UGACGAGUGGCGGACGGGUGAGUAAUGUAUGGGGAUCUGCCUGAUGAGGGGGAUAACUACUGGAAACGGUAGCUAAUACCGCAUAAUGUCGCAAGACCAAAGAGGGGGACCUUCGGGCCUCUUACCAUCAGAUGAACCCCAUAUGGGAUUAGCUAGUAGGUGAGGUAAUGGCUCACCUAGGCGACGAUCUCUAGCUGGUCUGAGAGGAUGACCAGCCACACUGGAACUGAGACACGGUCCAG
rnacentral:rRNA from 1 species